rnacentral:rRNA from 1 species
UACGAAGGGUGCAAGCGUUACUCGGAAUUACUGGGCGUAAAGCGUGCGUAGGUGGUUUGUUAAGUCUGAUGUGAAAGCCCUGGGCUCAACCUGGGAAUUGCAUUGGAUACUGGCAGGCUAGAGUGCGGUAGAGGGUAGUGGAAUUCCCGGUGUAGCAGUGAAAUGCGUAGAGAUCGGGAGGAACACCAGUGGCGAAGGCGACUACCUGGACCAGCACCGACACUGAGGCACGAAAGCGUGGGGAGCAAACAGG